CAAUCGAACUCGGAGAUAGCUGGUUCUCCCCGAAAUAGCUUUAGGGCUAGCGUUAUGUUAGAUUACCGGAGGUAAAGCACUGAAUGGUAGCGGGGCCGAUAAGGUUACCAACGCCUAUCAAACUAAGAAUGCCGGCUAAUUGAUGCAUAGCAGUCAGACAGUGUGAGAUAAGUUUCAUUGUCAAAAGGGAAACAGCCCAGACCCACAGCUAAGGUCCCUAAUGUGCGCUAAGUGGAAAACGAUGUGGAGUUGCGAAAACAACCAGGAUGUUGGCUUAGAAGCAGCCACUCAUUAAAAGAGUGCGUAAUAGCUCACUGGUCGAGUGACUCUGCGCGGAAAAUGUAACGGGGCUAAGCGUAACACCGAAGCUUGGGAUGCGCCGCAAGGUGCGUGGUAGGGGAGCGUCGAAUACGGGGUGAAGUCGUAGCGGAAGCAGCGGUGGACUGUAUUCGAGUGAGAAUGCCGGAAUGAGUAGCGAGAAUUAUGUGGGAAUCAUAAUGGCCGAAAAUCUAAGGUUUCUUGGGGAAGGUUCGUCCGCCCAAGGUAAGUCGGGAGCUAAGGCGAGGCCGAGAGGCGUAGUCGAUGCACAUACGGUAGAAAUUCCGUAACCACCGAAACUUAAGUUAGAGGGACACUUCGAGAUAGCGGAACCGCGGCGUUGGUAGACCGCGGCGAAAGGGACUGAAAUAUAGUAGGGAAGUCCGCGAUGCUCGGAGGCGAGAAAAGCUCUAAGGAAUGCUAAGGUGCCCGUACCGCAAACCGACACAGGUAGAUGAGGAGAGAAUCCUAAGGCCAACGGGAGAAGGGUUGUUAAGGAACUCGGCAAGUUGACCCCGUAACUUCGGAAGAAGGGGAGCCUCGAAAGAGGCCGCAGUGAAUAGGCCCAAGCAACUGUUUACCAAAAACACAGGUCUAUGCUAAAUCGAAAGAUGACGUAUAUGGGCUGACGCCUGCCCGGUGCCGGAAGGUUAAGAGGAGAUGUCAGGCAACGAAGCAUCGAAUUGAAGCCCCGGUAAACGGCGGCCGUAACUAUAACGGUCCUAAGGUAGCGAAAUUCCUUGUCAGGUAAGUUCUGACCCGCACGAAUGGCGUAAUGAUCUGGGCACUGUCUCGACAGCCCACCCGGCGAAAUUGUAGUACUGGUGAAGAUGCCAGUUACCCGCAACUAGACGGAAAGACCCCAUGGAGCUUUACUGCAGCUUAAUACUGGAAAUCGGUAAUUCAUGUACAGGAUAGGUGGGAGACGGAGAAGCAUGGUCGUCAGGUCAUGUGGAGUCGCCCUUGGGAUACCACUCUUGGAUUGCUGGUUUUCUAACCUGCGGCCGUGAAUCCGGUCGGGGGACACUGUUAGGCGGGCAGUUUGACUGGGGCGGUCGCCUCCAAAAAGGUAACGGAGGCGCUCAAAGGUUCGUUCAGCACGGACGGAAAUCGUGCAUUGAGUG
rnacentral:rRNA from 1 species